UGCGAAUUACGUCGUCAGCAUGUGAUCAGUGUUAGACAGUCAAUCAGUGCGUUCGGACGACAGCAUUUCGUCUUGUGUAGCGUUAUAUCCUAUUUUGUGAGGCCUGCCGUGCCAACUAAAAGAGAACGGUAUUUUCGGUGUUUUGCGCUCGAACCACAUCUCCCAAGAUAUUUCGAGGUUGGUGGCUGUUACAAGCAAGAAGAACAACAUUACAGAAAUUUAAAAUAAUUAUUAAUCAAUUACGUAUCAGAUAUAAGUUCUUGAAGCGGUAGAAAAAGGAAAAGACGAUAUGGCAAGUCGAAUAAUAGCUCUGUACAAUCAGAAAUAAAAAUGGCGAAUUCAAUAUGGCGGGUAGAGGACCUGAUAAAUGUGAGUCUUUUCAAAUUUCAAAUUAGUGGACCAGUUAUGAUGUCUCCGCCAUGUUGAUGCCUAUGAGAACACUCAGGAUUCGUAGUGAGUGAUAGAUCAAGAAAUGACGGCUAUCAGAAGUUAACAUCCAAAAGUAAAGUUUAACUUUGUUUCGGAAACAACAAUAUACAGUGUUUUAUUUUAAUCGCCCCAGGCAAAUAUCUCGAAGAAUAUGAAAGUGUUAUACAGGUUUAUUCUAUAGGAGCAUACUAAUAAAUACAUAAAUAAAUUGUAUUACAUUUAGUUCAGUGAACGUUAAAUUUAUGUGUUCACAUAUAAUAUAAAAUGCCUCGACGAAAAUAUGAAAGAUAUUUAGAACCUGAUUCAACAGAGGAUAUUCUCCCGUCAAACCCUCCAUAGCAGAAGAAAGCGAGAAAAUAAAUCAUCUAACAGAGAGGAGAUCAGUCACUCUUUGUCAACAAUUGAUGUAUCAGAUGUAUCAAAUCAGUUACAACGAAAUGUUUCAUGUGAAGAAAUAAGAAUCGAUGCUGAUAUUCACAAUUCAGACUUGCAAUUUCAAUUAACUAAAUAAUAUAGGACGGUGUGAACAAACUCUGUAUUCAUCUCUUUUUCAGGAGCAAUAUCAUAAUGAUGAACCAUCUGAUGAUGCAGAUUUAUUUAAUCAAAUUGUGUUAUUUCAAGAAAACUCCACUUCUGAAGAAGACGGAAACGACGAGGAAGUAUAUUAUAACAUUUGUGAAGUCGAAAUAUACUCAAAUAGUUGAAAUGCACUUCUAAUUAUACUAGUAUGUAAUAGAUUUUUAUGUUUCGGGGACAACAUCAUAGUGAACUAUUUGAUGAUGAUGCGAAUUUGUUCAACCAAGAUGCGUUAUCUGAAGAAAAUCACACUUCUGAAGGAAACGACGAGGGAAUGUUGGACGAUCAAUACGAUCGAUUUCUGAGUGAAACAUUAUGCCCACGUUCAGCAGCAACAAAAGGAGAAGCGCUAAUGAUGGCCGUACUUGUAGGAAAAAAACACUGUAUGACUUGGGUUGCGAUACUUGACAUCAUAAAUAUGAUAAAUAAGUUGUACAACAAUGAUGUCUUACCAAAUUCUAAGUUUUUACGACCGUUCGUCGACGAAGCAAACUCUUUAGCGCGAAAUGGUAUACAAUGGAAUCUAAACAACAAAAUUAUUACCAGUAAAAUCUACCCUAUAUGUUGCCUGUGUGGAUUCUAUUGCUGUAAGCUAGAGUAAAAAACGUAUACUUAUCUUACUUGUACUUAUUGCAUCAGUUCAUCAGUGCAGCAAUAGAAAACAAGCCUAUUGUAAUAUCUGUAACAAAUUUUUACUGUGCAAAUAAAAUUAAUGUAUAUUAUAAAAAA